CUGGACUGCGGGUGUUCAGGCUUCGUUGGGUGGACGGGGGGAGCAUGGGGUGCUGGGCCUCGUGCGGGUCCCGCUGUACACCCAGAAGGACCGAGUCGGAGGCUUCCCCAACUUCCUGAGCAACGCCUUCGUGAGCACGGCUAAGUGCCAGCUCCUCUUUGCCCUCAAGGUGCUCAACAUGAUGCCCGAGGAGAAGCUGGUUGAGGCCCUGGCUGCAGCCACCGAGAAGCAGAAGAAGGCCCUGGAGAAGUUGCUCCCGGCCUCCUCUUGAGGGCUGCCUGAGCUGGUGGCACCCUCCCCUGGGCCGGAAGACUGGGAAUUCCUGCUAAGUGUGGCUUCUAGAGUGUUUGUGUGUACCCCGCUUCUGACUGCCUAGGGCGAGUGGGCAUCCUGUCAUCAUCUCCACUGUCCCAAGCAGUCACUAGGUGGCGGCCGGGCCAGCUGGAACCCAGCCCAUCCUCUCAGGCAGAGCAGGGUGGUCCGGGCACACUGGGCCUGCCUCUCCAGCCUCAGGAUGCUCUUGUUUAUUCUGGGCUCAGACCCUCCUCUUGUACGUCUCAUCACAGCUGGUAGAGACCCAGGAGUGCCUGAUUGUCCCACAGGGGUGGCGCACAGCUCUGGGACCACUCAGAAGAUGGGAUGUGUGGGUGGAGGAUGCCUUGUCUCGGUCAGCUCAUUCCUGCCUCCUUCCUGAGCCAGUUCAGGGCCUGGGGGAGAGCCAGCUUGGGGUAGGAAGUUAAUAAUACUGUUAAUUUGGGUUGUUGUUGGAUUUACUUUGCUAGAUUUUCUCUUUCACCACGUGUGAACUGUGGGUGAGGUUUCAAAGUAGCUUCACCCCACGUGGCUUGGUUCCCAGGGACAGUCAGGGCCUCGGGGGCCCAGCUAUGUACAACGAAGCUGUCGA
rnacentral:lncRNA from 1 species